rnacentral:rRNA from 1 species
GACGAACGCUGGCGGCGUGCCUAAUACAUGCAAGUAGAACGCUGAAGGAGGAGCUUGCUUCUCUGGAUGAGUUGCGAACGGGUGAGUAACGCGUAGGUAACCUGCCUGGUAGCGGGGGAUAACUAUUGGAAACGAUAGCUAAUACCGCAUAAGAGUAGAUGUUGCAUGACAUUUGCUUAAAAGGUGCAAUUGCAUCACUACCAGAUGGACCUGCGUUGUAUUAGCUAGUUGGUGAGGUAACGGCUCACCAAGGCGACGAUACAUAGCCGACCUGAGAGGGUGAUCGGCCACACUGGGACUGAGACACGGCCCAGACUCCUACGGGAGGCAGCAGUAGGGAAUCUUCGGCAAUGGGCGGAAGUCUGACCGAGCAACGCCGCGUGAGUGAAGAAGGUUUUCGGAUCGUAAAGCUCUGUUGUAAGAGAAGAACGAGUGUGAGAGUGGAAAGUUCACACUGUGACGGUAUCUUACCAGAAAGGGACGGCUAACUACGUG